UACCAGCACCCCGAGUGGUCGGGACGAUUAUUGGGCCUAAAGCAUCCGUAGCCGGUUUUACAAGUCCCCCGUUAAAUCCAGGUGCUUAACAGAUGGGCUGCGGAGGAUACUAUAAGACUAGGAGGCAGGAGAGGCAAGCGGUACUCAGUGGGUAGGGGUAAAAUCCGUUGAUCCAUUGAAGACCACCAGUGGCGAAGGCGGCUUGCCAGAAUGCGCUCGACGGUGAGGGAUGAAAGCUGGGGGAGCAAACCGG
rnacentral:rRNA from 1 species